rnacentral:rRNA from 1 species
GGGUUGUGAGGUUAAGCGACUAAGCGUACACGGUGGAUGCCCUGGCAGUCAGAGGCGAUGAAGGACGUGCUAAUCUGCGAUAAGCGUCGGUAAGGUGAUAUGAACCGUUAUAACCGGCGAUUUCCGAAUGGGGAAACCCAGUGUGAUUCGUCACACUAUCAUUAACUGAAUCCAUAGGUUAAUGAGGCGAACCGGGGGAACUGAAACAUCUAAGUACCCCGAGGAAAAGAAAUCAACCGAGAUUCCCCCAGUAGCGGCGAGCGAACGGGGAGCAGCCCAGAGCCUGAAUCAGUGUGUGUGUUAGUGGAAGCGUCUGGAAAGGCGUGCGAUACAGGGUGACAGCCCCGUACACAAAAAUGCACAUGCUGUGAGCUCGAUGAGUAGGGCGGGACACGUGGUAUCCUGUCUGAAUAUGGGGGGACCAUCCUCCAAGGCUAAAUACUCCUGACUGACCGAUAGUGAACCAGUACCGUGAGGGAAAGGCGAAAAGAACCCCGGCGAGGGGAGUGAAAAAGAACCUGAAACCGUGUACGUACAAGCAGUGGGAGCACAGAGCAAUCUGUGUGACUGCGUACCUUUUGUAUAAUGGGUCAGCGACUUAUAUUCUGUAGCAAGGUUAACCGAAUAGGGGAGCCGAAGGGAAACCGAGUCUUAACUGGGCGUUAAGUUGCAGGGUAUAGACCCGAAACCCGGUGAUCUAGCCAUGGGCAGGUUGAAGGUUGGGUAACACUAACUGGAGGACCGAACCGACUAAUGUUGAAAAAUUAGCGGAUGACUUGUGGCUGGGGGUGAAAGGCCAAUCAAACCGGGAGAUAGCUGGUUCUCCCCGAAAGCUAUUUAGGUAGCGCCUCGUGAAUUCAUCUCCGGGGGUAGAGCACUGUUUCGGCAAGGGGGUCAUCCCGACUUACCAACCCGAUGCAAACUGCGAAUACCGGAGAAUGUUAUCACGGGAGACACACGGCGGGUGCUAACGUCCGUCGUGAAGAGGGAAACAACCCAGACCGCCAGCUAAGGUCCCAAAGUCAUGGUUAAGUGGGAAACGAUGUGGGAAGGCCCAGACAGCCAGGAUGUUGGCUUAGAAGCAGCCAUCAUUUAAAGAAAGCGUAAUAGCUCACUGGUCGAGUCGGCCUGCGCGGAAGAUGUAACGGGGCUAAACCAUGCACCGAAGCUGCGGCAGCGACACUAUGUGUUGUUGGGUAGGGGAGCGUUCUGUAAGCCUGUGAAGGUGUACUGUGAGGUAUGCUGGAGGUAUCAGAAGUGCGAAUGCUGACAUAAGUAACGAUAAAGCGGGUGAAAAGCCCGCUCGCCGGAAGACCAAGGGUUCCUGUCCAACGUUAAUCGGGGCAGGGUGAGUCGACCCCUAAGGCGAGGCCGAAAGGCGUAGUCGAUGGGAAACAGGUUAAUAUUCCUGUACUUGGUGUUACUGCGAAGGGGGGACGGAGAAGGCUAUGUUGGCCGGGCGACGGUUGUCCCGGUUUAAGCGUGUAGGCUGGUUUUCCAGGCAAAUCCGGAAAAUCAAGGCUGAGGCGUGAUGACGAGGCACUACGGUGCUGAAGCAACAAAUGCCCUGCUUCCAGGAAAAGCCUCUAAGCAUCAGGUAACAUCAAAUCGUACCCCAAACCGACACAGGUGGUCAGGUAGAGAAUACCAAGGCGCUUGAGAGAACUCGGGUGAAGGAACUAGGCAAAAUGGUGCCGUAACUUCGGGAGAAGGCACGCUGAUAUGUAGGUGAAGUCCCUCGCGGAUGGAGCUGAAAUCAGUCGAAGAUACCAGCUGGCUGCAACUGUUUAUUAAAAACACAGCACUGUGCAAACACGAAAGUGGACGUAUACGGUGUGACGCCUGCCCGGUGCCGGAAGGUUAAUUGAUGGGGUCAGCGCAAGCGAAGCUCUUGAUCGAAGCCCCGGUAAACGGCGGCCGUAACUAUAACGGUCCUAAGGUAGCGAAAUUCCUUGUCGGGUAAGUUCCGACCUGCACGAAUGGCGUAAUGAUGGCCAGGCUGUCUCCACCCGAGACUCAGUGAAAUUGAACUCGCUGUGAAGAUGCAGUGUACCCGCGGCAAGACGGAAAGACCCCGUGAACCUUUACUAUAGCUUGACACUGAACAUUGAGCCUUGAUGUGUAGGAUAGGUGGGAGGCUUUGAAGUGUGGACGCCAGUCUGCAUGGAGCCGACCUUGAAAUACCACCCUUUAAUGUUUGAUGUUCUAACGUUGACCCGUGAUCCGGGUUGCGGACAGUGUCUGGUGGGUAGUUUGACUGGGGCGGUCUCCUCCUAAAGAGUAACGGAGGAGCACGAAGGUUGGCUAAUCCUGGUCGGACAUCAGGAGGUUAGUGCAAUGGCAUAAGCCAGCUUGACUGCGAGCGUGACGGCGCGAGCAGGUGCGAAAGCAGGUCAUAGUGAUCCGGUGGUUCUGAAUGGAAGGGCCAUCGCUCAACGGAUAAAAGGUACUCCGGGGAUAACAGGCUGAUACCGCCCAAGAGUUCAUAUCGACGGCGGUGUUUGGCACCUCGAUGUCGGCUCAUCACAUCCUGGGGCUGAAGUAGGUCCCAAGGGUAUGGCUGUUCGCCAUUUAAAGUGGUACGCGAGCUGGGUUUAGAACGUCGUGAGACAGUUCGGUCCCUAUCUGCCGUGGGCGCUGGAGAACUGAGGGGGGCUGCUCCUAGUACGAGAGGACCGGAGUGGACGCAUCACUGGUGUUCGGGUUGUCAUGCCAAUGGCACUGCCCGGUAGCUAAAUGCGGAAGAGAUAAGUGCUGAAAGCAUCUAAGCACGAAACUUGCCCCGAGAUGAGUUCUCCCUGACUCCUUGAGAGUCCUGAAGGAACGUUGAAGACGACGACGUUGAUAGGCCGGGUGUGUAAGCGCAGCGAUGCGUUGAGCUAACCGGUACUAAUGAACCGUGAGGCUUAACCUUACAACGCCGAAGGUGUUU